rnacentral:misc_RNA from 1 species
GAUGAAGAACGUAGCGAAAUGCGAUAAGUAAUGUGAAUUGCAGGAUUCAGUGAAUCAUCGAAUCUUUGAACGCACAUUGCGCCCCUUGGUAUUCCGAGGGGCAUGCCUGUUCGAGCGUCAUUAUAACCCUCAAGCUCAGCUUGGUGUUGGGGCCUGCUGCACUGGCAGCCCUUAAAAUCAGUGGCGGCGCCAUCUGGCUCUAAGCGUAGUAAUUCUUCUCGCUAUGGAGUCCUGGUGGAUGCUUGCCAUCAACCCCCAAUUUUUCUAUGGUUGACCUCGGAUCAGGUAGGGAUACCCGCUGAACUUAAGCAUAUCAAUAAGCGGAGGA